UUAGCUGCUUGUGGCGCAAAAGGCUAGUCGAUCGGGAGCUCUUUGGCUGGAGGCCAUCCCGAACGAUGUAAACGUUUGCCGGGCUAGCAGCUAGCUUGGCUGGACCCGUGUGCUGUAUGGAAUCAUCUCUCUCUCUAAAAAAAAGUCUCCAUCGCCCAUCGGCCGUUGGCGUGACGUCUGGUGCCCACCACCGUCCGUAACCCGCACGACGCACCAUGCCGUUUACCCACCCUUUCCUUACGAAACUGCUAGCCAUCAAUUCUUCAACCCCAGCGAGAGCGAGACACGCUAGCAGCGGAAUCAGGCUGACGAGCCCCAGAAGCCAAGCCAAGGAAACGCACCCCCUGGAGCCCGGGUCCACGGCCCCAUGCCCUUCCUCUCGACGCCCUCGUUCGACCUCUCCGCCGGCGCGGAACCCACACUCGGCCCGCGCCCUCCUCCUCCUCCUCCGCCCGCCGCCGCGACCGCGCCUCCACCGCAGCCGCCGGUGUCCGAGGCGGCGGCGAGGCGCCUGCGGGAGGCGGAGGAGCGGUUGNNNNNN
rnacentral:lncRNA from 1 species